UAAUACGGAGGGAGCUAGCGUUGUUCGGAAUCACUGGGCGUAAAGCGCACGUAGGCGGCUACUCAAGUCGGGGGUGAAAGCCCGGGGCUCAACCCCGGAACUGCCCUCGAAACUAGGUAGCUAGAAUCUUGGAGAGGCGAGUGGAAUUCCGAGUGUAGAGGUGAAAUUCGUAGAUAUUCGGAAGAACACCAGUGGCGAAGGCGACUCGCUGGACAAGUAUUGACGCUGAGGUGCGAAAGCGUGGGGAGCAAACAGG
rnacentral:rRNA from 1 species